rnacentral:lncRNA from 1 species
AGGAAUUAAUUCCGAUAGCCAACUUCGUCCGAGACCAUUAAUGAAUAUGGUUUUGUCAUCGUCCGAUGGUAAUUGUAUCCGAGAAUCGCAUAGAUAGCAGGGUAUAAUUACACCGUGAAAAAUUGGGUGAAGUUGCCCAACCGAAAUUAUGAGCUGCGCUGCGUCAAGAAGUACAUUGUGCAUCGUAUAUCUUCGAGUAGUUGUGAAUGGAGCGGGAUGGUAAUAUUAUGACAACGAUAAUGGUGAUGUGCAUGAAAAAUGAAAAAAGAAAAGAGGAAAAAAGUUGCAUCCAGAGAAAACAGUAGCAAGGAACAAGCCAGCUACAGAGUUCUACACGUGGGGCGUGUUAUUAUUUCGUUACGGGGCAGAAGAUAGGGUGUCCUCGGCCUCGAGAAUUAGCGGGCAAGAACGGGACGGCCAUUGAUAUAACUGAUUAUCUUCAGUAACUCACGGCGUUGGAAACAACCGGAAAGAGAUAAGCAUACAAGACGAGAAACUGAUCCAUUGAAGAGAGUGCGGAUAUAGAAAUUUUUUCGAACACGGGGAAAGUAUUAUAUCUGUUGGUUUACGUUGCUGCAUUUAAUCGAGGUGCGGCCAAAGCGAUAGACGAACCGUGACUAUUACCAUCGUGCAGGAAGUAGAUAAUUUUUGGAGUCGUGUAAUGAAACUGAAAACAAAUUUGAACCGGCUUAACGCAAGAAAGGGAUUGACCUAGAUGACUUGUGAUUGGUGGUACUACUGUUCAGAAAUUUACGUUGCUCGGAAACCUGCGGUUAGCGAACUGGCUGCUGAAUGUGUAACACCUCAGAUGAUGUUACCUCCUCCCACCUAUGACAGGACGCCAGAGUGAUGCUCCCCCUUCGCAAUUUGUUUACAUUUAUUGAACAUAGCCAUGAUGAAAGGAACGGACAUUCAAUGAACCAGUACUUUGGGUCGCAUUCGAUGAUGCACAUAAGCUGCUCGACUUGGAGUAUCUGAAUUUGAUUCAGAAACACGAAUCCGCCAAGUAAAAUGAGCAGAAAAUGGAUCUCGAAGAAGUAUCCCAAUUUUUUCACGUUUUGAAGCGAUGAAUUGGCGAUCAUCGAAACAAGUUGCGAUUCAAUUCUUCCAUGAUUCUUAUUCUGCGUUCUUUUCUGUUUCGAAUGAGAAUCUUGUUACUAUUAUGAAGCGGUACUUCGUGGAAUUAUCAAAUUGAGUUUUGAUGUUGAUACAAUUAAGAAUAAUGCAAAUUAUAUUGAAGCACAUUUAUUGAAGAUACAAAAUUCUUGGUAUGAAUUAUUCAAUGUAAUACAUGAUGAUUUAUGAAUAAACGAA